GAUGAAGAACGUAGCGAAAUGCGAUAAGUAAUGUGAAUUGCAGAAUUCAGUGAAUCAUCGAGUCUUUGAACGCACAUUGCGCCCCCUGGUAUUCCGGGGGGCAUGCCUGUCCGAGCGUCAUUGCUGCCCUCAAGCACGGCUUGUGUGUUGGGCCUCCGUCCUCCUCCCGGGGGACGGGCCCGAAAGGCAGCGGCGGCACCGCGUCCGGUCCUCGAGCGUAUGGGGCUUCGUCACCCGCUCUUGUAGGCCCGGCCGGCGCUUGCCGACACAUCAAUCUUUUUUCCAGGUUGACCUCGGAUCAGGUAGGGAUACCCGCUGAACUUAAGCAUAUCAAUAAGCAGAGGA
rnacentral:misc_RNA from 1 species